AUACGGAGGGUGCAAGCGUUAAUCGGAAUUACUGGGCGUAAAGCGUACGUAGGCGGUCCGUUAAGUUAGAUGUGAAAGCCCCGGGCUUAACUUGGGAACUGCAUUUGAAACUGGGUAACUAGAGUUUAGUAGAGGGGAGUGGAAUUUCAGGUGUAGCGGUGAAAUGCGUAGAGAUCUGAAGGAACACCAGUGGCGAAGGCGACUCCCUGGACUAAAACUGACGCUGAGGUACGAAAGCGUGGGUAGCAAACAGGAUUAGAAACCCUAGUAGUCC
rnacentral:rRNA from 1 species